rfam:Plasmodium falciparum MaliPS096_E11 unplaced genomic scaffold supercont1.148, whole genome shotgun sequence.
UUUUUAUGAUGAUACAAUUCCAAAAAUGCAAGUAGGGACAUGAGAAUAUUAUAAAUAUGUUCGUCUUCUAUUAUCUGAAAAAA